rnacentral:rRNA from 1 species
UACGGAGGGGGCUAGCGUUGUUCGGAAUUACUGGGCGUAAAGCGCGCGUAGGCGGACCUGCAAGUCGCGUGUGAAAGCCCCCGGCUCAACUGGGGAGGGUCACGCGAUACUGAUCGACUCGAAGGCAGGAGAGGGAAGUGGAAUUCCCGGUGUAGUGGUGAAAUGCGUAGAUAUCGGGAGGAACACCAGUGGCGAAGGCGACUUCCUGGCCUGUUCUUGACGCUGAGGCGCGAAAGCUAGGGGAGCAAACGGG